CGAGAGAACAGAAAAAAUGUCCUCCAGACUUGCACACUAGGGUUUCGACGGCGAUCAAUAAAAUAAGAGGGUUUGACGGGAGGGACCUUGCAAGCAAUACCACUCACCCCACAUCAUCCCUCGAUCUCGCUCUCUGACCCCUCGGAGCUCCAUCCCUUAUCCAUGGCAAUCCCCGGCCCCUACUCCGGCGUCAGCUCCCUCGCCUUCGUAGCUCGUGCAUCGGCGUUCACCUUCGGUCUCGUCUACGGGAGCAUUAAGCUCUCCUACCUCCAGGCAAAGGCAAAAUAUGAUAAAAAAGCUGAGGCAAAAGGACAUCAUUGAACAGGAAAUGCAUAUCUUUGUUUCUUGUUUCACAAUGACCGGAUUUGAGUGUUUAUUUCAAUUGUUGCAGCACAUGAUUUACUUGUGAUUCUUAUCUUUCCCAAGAAAACUGCGAGGAUGGUUGACAUUUAUUCUGAUAAAAGAGGGGUUCAUCUCCUAGCAUAUGUGAACUUGAAAAAAAAUUAGAAAUGACAAUUCAAGUAUCUCAAUCAUGAAACCAAUAAUGGUAGUUCCUUUCUUACCA